rnacentral:lncRNA from 1 species
CUCGUAUCAAGUGGUUAUCAGAGCCCAGGUUGCGUCCACGCUAUAAGAGCUAAGUAUAUCCUUCUGUCUUUAUUCUUGUUUUCAUUUGAUUUGCGUUUUUCGUUGAUGCCAUUUUCUGUCUCAGUUUUGAUUCAUGUUUCUGUUUCGUUCUCUGUUAUUUCUUCACUUCUUGUGUUGAGUUUUGUUUUUGUGAAUCUGUCUUGNUUUUAUUCUUUGCGAUUUGUUCAUUUGAUUCGCGUUUAUUGAGUUGUUCAUUUUUUCCUUUAAUAUUCUGUGCAUCUGUUUGCUCAUCCUGUGCUUGAGUUUGUGUUUUGAGUCUUCUUCAUUUUAAUUCGGUGAAUCCAAGUAGUUUGAGUCUUUUGCUUGAGAAAUCAAUUUCUGUUAUGUCAAAGUCGUGUUGCUUUGUUUUAAUUGUCAAUUAAAUCUGAGUUUAACUGUGAUUCAAUUGAGUUUAUGGCUUUGAGUAAGAUCUGUACAUCAUCAUAAGCAGUGACAUUCAAGUGAAUGAGCUUGAUGACAGACUUCAAUAGCAGUUUUAAUGUCAGUUCAUUUAUUUGAAGCUNUCUUGAGUUUUGAUGCUGUCCAUUACAUGUAAUUGUGUUGAACUAAAAUCCAGAGUGAAUACUGUAAAUCCUGAUAUUGCUUUUGCAAUUGGUAGUAUAACUGGAAAGUUCAUGGCAUCUGUUUUCAUCAGGCAGUAGGCCGAACUGCCUAAGUUCAUUGCUAAAGUUGUUUUUUGUGUGUGUCAAAUNUGGUUGAGUAUUUAGUUCAUGACCAACCAUCUAAAAUUGUUGUUCUGCUAUUUGAGCAAGUUUUCCAUACUGUUUUAAGUUCAAUUCUGGUGCAUUCAUUUAGUAUAAUCUGCUGUUUCACAAUUUGGCUAUUAGAGUGAUUGAGUGAAAAUGCAUAAGGAACUGCACAUAUCAUAAUCUGAUAUAAGCUGAAUCUGUGCAAAAUUUUUCGUCAAACAAGAUUCAAAUCAUCAUUAAAACUUGUUGGAGCAAAGAGGANUUGACUUUAUUUGGAUUUGUGCAUUUUCACUAGUCAACUAGUCCAUUUUUCUUAAACUCUGACCAGUCCAACUCAAGUGCUGCAUAAUUGUGUUAAGUCCAGCUGAAGUGUGUUUAAAUUCUAUGAAAAUGUUGUAGCAAAAGCUGGAUUCCAUAUAAAAGAAAUAUAGCAAUCAAAAGAAAAUGAAUUGACAGUGAAGAAAAAAAGCAUUGAAUCCGUGCAACAGGCUGUUUUGGAAAGUCUGCAGAUUGUAAAAUUUAAUACUAGCUGGACUGUCUUUGAGGCAUAUUAACAAACAGUUUGUGGAAUUGGCAUUUUAUCAUUGACUNCACCUCUUUUGUUGAUUGAGUCAUUUGUUUGUGUUUUAAAUCUGUUCUAGAGCUAUUCCUAGGUUCUGUUUGUGUGCCAGCUUUUAUUGAAAGCUUUUGUUUCUUGCUUGUAUUGAUUGAUAACUCUGGUUUUGUCCAUCACGUGCAUUCUGUUCUGCUGAUUAUAAUUGAAGCUUUCCUUUGCUUUUGAAAUCUGGUUUAGAGCUCUGAGUAGAGUUUGAUCUGUGUUGACCAUUUCCAUUGCUUUGUUUUGUCCUGUUCUGUUUACCUGUUAUUGCUUUUGCUUAGCCUAUCCAUCUCUGGUUUGAGAAGCUUUCACUCUUGGUGUUUAUUUGGAAAUUUGAAAAGGUUUGUGUGCUUGGUAGCAUCUUAGGUGGUGGUGGUCUAAAAGACUCUCCAGCCCUGAACUAACAAGGGAGAAUCUCUCUUCUAAACCUUUCAUCUGUGUGAUUAAAAGUUUUUAAGAGAAGCCUUCAGAAAAAANUCUUGAGUUUGUGAGCUUUGUNUGGCUGCAUCUAAGAGCCAAAUUUCUUGUUGAGAGUGUGUUUUGAUUUUAAGUGCUGCUAUAAGUUUUAAAUUGAACUGUGUGCUAACUGUUUACUUGUGCAGCAUCACAUAAUCUGUUUGGCAAAGCAAACUGCUACUGCAAUCACUCCAAUUUAGUUUGACUACUGCAUAAUAUUCUGCACUGACUUGUUUGGGAAUUCUAUUAAAUAGUUGCAACAGUUUUGGAAGUUGGCCAAUGAAUCUGAGAAAACAGCAGCCUAAUCACUUCAUAUUGGAGUUGAACUGAAGGGAGUCUUUAACUUCAGUGCCUUUGUUUUCUUUCAGUGCAUUGUUCCUGUUAUUGUUUGGCAUUGAUUAGCAUUAGGAGAAGUAUUGAAUUAGUGUUGAAUUCUUGGUGCAGCAGAUUUCAAUUUGAAAGCACAGGAAAUUCUGCAGCUUCACCAAGUGCUGAGACCGAGAGCUUCCANGGAAAUUCGUUGUGCAGAUUGGAACUUAUUGGCAUUACCACAGUAGNAUAANCAUUCCUGUGUGCAGUUUUGUAUUGAAGAUUACAAAUUGAGUGCGAAUAGGAUUCAUGCUCUACGUCAAUUGUGCAACACCGAGAAAGGGAGAAUUCUUUAUCUUGUGCAUUCUAUUUUGUAAUNUGUUAGGAAAAAGUCACUUAACCAGGUUUGUGUAUCUGAUUUGGCAGAAUUAAAAUAGUCCAGAAAACCAAAG